AAUGUACUCCCUCCGUCCGAAAAUACUUGUCAUCACAAUAGAUAAAAAUGGAUGUAUCUAAAACUAGAAUACAUCUAGAUACAUCAUCUUUUAUUCAUUUUGAUGACAAGUAUUUUCAGACGUAGGGAGUAUUAU
rnacentral:pre_miRNA from 1 species